UAGAGUUUGAUCCUGGCUCAGGAUGAACGCUGGCGGCGUGCCUAAGAUAUGCAAGUCGAGCGGUAACACUUCGGGUGACGAGCAGCGGACGGCUUAGUAACGCGUAGGAACGUACCCCAAAGUGAGGGAUAAGCACCGGAAACGGUGUCUAAUACCGCAUGUGGUCUUCGGACUAAAGCCUUCGGGCGCUAUGGGAGCGGCCUGCGUAUGAUUAGCUUGUUGGUGAGGUAAAGGCUCACCAAGGCGACGAUCAUUAACUGGUCUGAGAGGAUGAUCAGUAAGACUGGGACUGAGACACGGCCCAGACCCCUACGGGGGGCAGCAAUUAGGAAUCUUUCGCAAUGGGGGAAACCCUGGCGGAGCAACGCCGCGUGCAGGAUGAAGGCCUUCGGGUUGUAAACUGCUUUUAAUAGAGAAGAUUAUGACGGUAACUAUUGAAUAAGGACCUGCUAACUACGUGCCAGCAGCCGCGGUAAUAC
rnacentral:rRNA from 1 species